AGCGCUGUUUCUGAUCCUUGUUGGAGGUUCGAGUGGGACAUAUUCCUCAGUUUCCAAAGAGACAGAAGCCACAGUUUCACGAAUCGUCUCUAUGUAGCGCUCAUCAAGGCACAGGUCCAGGUAUGGAAGGGUGACGUGGAACGCAAGAAUCAGGAGCUCGGUCCCAGUCUCGUGGAGGCUAUGGAGGAUUCAGUGUCUUUUGUCGCUGUCUUAUCCCCUGGCUAUGACAAGUCUUACUGGUGCCUUGAAGAAUUAGCCAAGCUCUGUGAUCUGAGAUCAUCGCUAGCUCGUCCUUUAUUACCAAUCUUUUACGAGGUAUACACACAAUUGUUGGCAUGUUGCUCUCUGUUACUUGGAACUUGGAAGGAGGGUCACCAAUGAGUAAAGUAGAGGAGAUCUAUGAUAAUCACAUCUGGAAAGAGUUGGAAAACGACACGCUGUUCCUCCCGAAGUAUAUCUCAAUGCUAUCGGUUUGUUAUUGCGUUUGGAUGUAAGAGGUGCUCUCAAAGGUUUUGAGACCGCCUCAAACUCCUUACAGCUCGUUGACUGAUCAGGUUAGCCAUGCACUAUUUAUAUACUGUAUUGAAUGAUCAGUUGGUUUUUUUGACUUUUAACAUCUUAGGGAAACUGGUAUUUGUCGUGGCACCUUGACAUAUUGAUAGUUUGAUAGAUCCCGAGAGUGUUUAACAAUGAAUGAGCAAACAAAAGCUGUCACCGAGGCAUUUGUGAGGUUACACAAGGAAGGGCUUAUAUAUGAAGAGAUUGGUUUGUUCAUUGUUGCUGUUAAUUUCUCAGAAACAGCCUUGUCUGAUCGUAAGGUUGAUCACAUUGACAUUAAAAGAAGAACACCAACGAAAGUACCGGGUGUGAUACGUAAUAUGUGAUCUUUAUGUUCUAGCUUAACAGAUUGAUAUUCAAUAUUGCUAUAUGGACACAAUCUGCAAUUCUAUUAUCAUGCAUGGCUCCAUUGUGACAGUAAACAGCCCUUUUUCUAUUGGUAGGUUUGUUAUUACACAAUCAUGAAUGAGAA